rnacentral:rRNA from 1 species
CCUACGGGUGGCAGCAGUGAGGAAUAUUGGUCAAUGGGCGCUAGCCUGAACCAGCCAAGUAGCGUGAAGGAUUACUGCCCUAUGGGUUGUAAACUUCUUUUAUAUGGGAAUAAAGUGCGGUAUGUAUACUGCUUUGCAUGUACCUUAUGAAUAAGGAUCGGCUAACUCCGGGCCAGCAGCCGCGGUAAUACGGAGGAACGGAGCGUUAUCCGGGUUUUUUGGGUUUAAAGGGAGCGGAGGCUGGUUGUUAAGUCAGUUGUGAAAGUUUGCGGCUCAACCGUAAAAUUGCAGUUGAAACUGGCAUCCUUGAGUACAGUAGAGGUAGGCGGAAUUCGUGGUGUAGCGGUGAAAUGCUUAGAUAUCACGCAGAACCCCGAUUGCGAAGGCAGCCUGCUGGACUGUAACUGACGCUGAUGCACGAAAGUGUGGGUAUCAAACAGGAUUAGAUACCCUUGUAGUC